rnacentral:rRNA from 1 species
UACAGAGGGUGCGAGCGUUAAUCGGAAUGACUGGGCGUAAAGGGUGCGUAGGUGGUUUGAUAAGUUAGGUGUGAAAGUCCCGGGCUUAACCUGGGGAGGCCGCUUAAGACUGUCGAGCUAGAGUACUGUAGAGGAAGGUGGAAUUUCCGGAGUAGCAGUGAAACGCGUAGAUAUCGGAAGGAACAUCAGUGGCGAAGGCGACUUUCUGGACAGAUACUGACACUGAGGCACGAAAGCGUGGGGAGCAAACAGG